CAUACUUGGACUUUAGUUUUUGACAGAGCCCUGAGCAACUGCUCACAAGGGAAAGCAUAUGUAGAUUGAAGCUAUGCAGAAUGAAGUCUCAACAGCUGAAGCUUACUGGGGAACCAAUGGUGCCCUAAAUUAAGAUAAUUUAUGAAAUGUUGGUCUCCCUCUGUUGCUGCCCAGGCUCCAGGCUGAAGUGCAGAGGCAUGAUCUUGGCUCACUGCCGCCUCCUCUUCCCAGGCUCAAGCGAUCCUCCCACAUUUGCCUCCUGAGUAGCUGAGACUACAGUCUUGCCUUGUCACCCAGGCUGGAGUGCAAUGGCACAAUCUCGGCUCACUGCAAUCUCUGCCUCCCAGGUUCAAGUGAUUCUUCUGCCUCAGCCUCCCAAGCAACUGGGACUACAGGAACAAAUGCAGCAACUGCA
rnacentral:lncRNA from 1 species